rnacentral:rRNA from 1 species
GGCCUACCAAGGCAACGACGGGUAGCGGGACUGAGAGGUUGGCCCGCCACAUCGGGACUGAGACACUGCCCGGACCUCCACGGAGGGCUGCAGUAACGAAUAUUGGGCAAUGGGCGAAAGCCUGACCCAGCAAUGCCGCGUGUAGGAUGAAGCCCCUCGGGGUGUAAACUACUGUCAGGGGUUAGAAAGCUACGGUUGAUCAACCCCAGAGGAAGUCACGGCUAACUUCGUGCCAGCAGCCGCGGUAAUACGAAGGUGGCGAGCGUUAUUCGGAAUUACUGGGCUUAAAGCGCACGCAGGCGGAAUAUUUAGCGUCUUGUGAAAUCCCCCGGCUUAACCGGGGAAUUGCAGGGCGAACUGGUAUUCUUGAGGCAAGUAGGGGUGCAUGGAACUCUUGGUGGAGCGGUGGAAUGCGUAGAUAUCAAGAGGAACGCCGAUGGUGAAGACAGUGCACUGGGCUUGUCCUGACGCUGAGGUGCGAAAGCGUGGGGAGCGAACGGGAUUAGAUACCCCGGUAGUCCACGCCGUAAACGAUGCCUACUAGGUCGUGGUUGUUCUGACACACUCACGGCCGAAGCAAAAGUGUNUAGUAGGCCGCCUGGGGAGUACGGUCGCAAGGCUAAAACUCAAAGGAAUUGACGGGGGCUCACACAAGCGGUGGAGCAUGUGGAUUAUUUCGAAGCAACGCGCAGAACCUUACCUGGGUUUGCCUGUCUGGAUGCCUGCUUGUGAAAACCAGUUAGG